rnacentral:rRNA from 1 species
GACGAACGCUGGCGGCGUGCUUAACACAUGCAAGUCGAACGGAAGGGCCCUGCUUUUGUGGGGUGCUCGAGUGGCGAACGGGUGAGUAACACGUGAGUAACCUGCCCUUGACUUUGGGAUAACUUCAGGAAACUGGGGCUAAUACCGGAUAGGAGCUCCUGCUGCAUGGUGGGGGUUGGAAAGUUUCGGCGGUUGGGGAUGGACUCGCGGCUUAUCAGCUUGUUGGUGGGGUAGUGGCUUACCAAGGCUUUGACGGGUAGCCGGCCUGAGAGGGUGACCGGCCACAUUGGGACUGAGAUACGGCCCAGACUCCUACGGGAGGCAGCAGUGGGGAAUAUUGCACAAUGGGCGAAAGCCUGAUGCAGCAACGCCGCGUGCGGGAUGACGGCCUUCGGGUUGUAAACCGCUUUCGCCUGUGACGAAGCGUGAGUGACGGUAAUGGGUAAAGAAGCACCGGCUAACUACGUG